GACAUACUAAGAACUUCCAGAGAUGGAUUGGUGCCUUCGGGAACUUAGAUACAGGUGCUGCAUGGCUGUCGUCAGCUCGUGUCGUGAGAUGUUGGGUUAAGUCCCGCGACGAGCGCAACCCUUUUCCUUAUUUGCCAGCGGGUCAUGCCGGGAACUUUAAGGAUACUGCCAGUGACAAACUGGAGGAAGGCGGGGACGACGUCAAGUCAUCAUGGCCCUUACGGCCAGGGCUACACACGUGCUACAAUGGUCGGUACAAAGGGUUGCUACCUCGCGAGAGGAUGCUAAUCUCAAAAAGCCGAUCGUAGUCCGGAUCGCAGUCUGCAACUCGACUGCGUGAAGUCGGAAUCGCUAGUAAUCGCGGAUCAGAAUGCCGCGGUGAAUACGUUCCCGGGCCUUGUACACACCGCCCGUCACACCAUGGGAGUUUGUUGCACCAGAAGUAGGUAGUCUAACCGCAAGGAGGACGCUUACCACGGUGUGGCCGAUGACUGGGGUGAAGUCGUAACAAGGUAGGCGUAGAUGA
rnacentral:rRNA from 1 species